rnacentral:lncRNA from 1 species
GUCCAUUCUGAAGGAGAUCAGCCCUGGGAUCUCUUUGGAAGGAAUGAUGCUAAAGCUGAAAGUCCAGUACUUUGGCCACCUCAUGCGAAGAGUUGACUCACUGGAAAAGACUCUGAUGCUGGGAGGGAUGGGGGGCAAGAGGAGAAGGGGAUGACAGAGGAUGAGAUGGCUGGAUGGCAUCACCGACUCGAUGGACAUGAGUCUGGGUGAACUCUGGGAGUUGGUGAUGUACAGGGAGGCCUGGCGUGCUGCGAUUCAUGGGGUCGCAAAGAGUCGGACAUGACUGAGCGACUGAUCUGAUCUGAUCUGUGAAUGUAUAAAAUGCCUGAAGUACACUUAAAAUUGUCAAAAUGGUGAAUUGCACAAUAUACAUAUUUUACUACAGUUAAAAAUAAGUCCUAGAGAGAGGGAACAUAUAUAUAUAUAUAUAUAUAUAUAUAUAUAUAUAUAUAUGGCUGAUUCAUGUUGAUGUUUGGCAGAAAUCAAUACAAUUCUGCAAAUUAAUUAUCCUUCAAUUAAAAAAUAAAUAAAUUGAAAAAAAUACGUGCGCAAAGAUGUUUUAGUCUAGGGUGAUGUGAGAGCCUUUGGGGUGGAUGUUUCCCCUCCAAUAACUUAAUUUAACUUUGCCCCAAGCAUUAAAUGGCAAAGGUCAAGCCUCUGGAUUGACUGAGAGCAGGCCAGCUGCUGAAACUUACUGGAACAUGUUGCAUUCGGCAGGAGCAUGUGGCCGCUGAGGCAAAAGCACUUGUAGCUACCGUGUGUAUUCACACAUCUGUGUUGGCACGGCCGGGGUUUGAAUCCACACUCAUUCACAUCUGCAGGGGGCAGUCAAGAAAUGGAGAAAGGUGAACUGAAGGAGGAAACACCCAGAUGUGGAAUGGGGUUGGCCUACCCUGGACGCCAGCUGUGGAGACAGAAGUCUGCAAGGGAGGAAAUGGAGCCUGAGCAAGCUUAUCUACCUUGCCCAAGGUCACCCACGGCAGUCUGGUUCUCAAGACAAUGCCCUUGAUCAUGACCCACCUGACCAGUGUGAGUACCACCCUUUUCAACCGACAAAGCCCCAGGGGAAUG